CUUUCCAUUGUGCUGGACUGGCAGCAAGGAGGUGAUGGAGAGACUCAGCCGGAGCUGGUGACCAGGUGCACGGAGACUGGCCUGCGAAACGACUUGUGGAGAGGCCACUCCGCCACCUGGGCUGCUCCUGCUGGACUCUUUCUUCAGAGACAAUAAACCUCCUUAUUUAAGCCAAAAGGCAUGAAGAGAUUCAUUUCUUUUCUCUGCUUCCUGCUUUGACAUGAAGCACAUGGCGGUGGGCUGGUGACCAGGAUGGGAAAGCGGGUGAAAGAAGAGUUGAAGAAAAUUUGGAGGUGGUGAAUCCCAGGAAGGUGGACCACAUCUUUCAGCAGACCCCACCAGCACUUUGCAUGAAAAAUGCUUCACACAAUUGAAAAAAGCUUCAGAGCUGCGCCUUGGCUACUGCAGGCUCUCUUUCUCUAGACACUGUGGGCAUGAUGUUCCAGCAGAAGUCCCAGAACUUGCAGACUGGUCCAACCUGUGUCAUGUGACCAGCCAAGACUCGAGCACUUGCUAGCCUUAUAUUGGGAGAAAUGUCUGAGCUGACCUGGAUGGAGAUCCAGGAAGAUGAGGGGAGGGGCUUCACCAGCCCUGCAGGAGGAAAGGCACAGUGGGUGGUGGAGCUGGAGACAGGAAAAAUACUACAGUGCCCUGGGCAUGCUUGUUUGUGAGAAAACUGCCUGAGGGGUAACUGGGCCCCCUCAUCCUUGUGGCUGAGCAGGGUUGUGCAUAAACCAAGAGGGGAACUUGGUUGAGUCAUGACUUCAUCCAGCCUUCUUGCUUGCUGGCUAGUAGUACGAGGAAAUAAAAAUUCUAAGUGACAAAGGCCUUAAGGAUGUUAUAUGCGAUGAAAAUGUGUAAUCAAGAAGGUGGACAAACAUGGAAAACAAUGGGAGAUGGAAAAGCAAUAGGAAGUCACACUGUAAAGUCCUCUAUAAUUAAAAAAAAUUUUGUUGACUUUUA